CAAGUCGAACGGCAGCGCGGACUUCGGUCUGGCGGCGAGUGGCGAACGGGUGAGUAAUGUAUCGGAACGUGCCUAGUAGCGGGGGAUAACUACUCGAAAGAGUAGCUAAUACCGCAUACGCCCUACGGGGGAAAGGGGGGGAUCGCAAGACCUCUCACUAUUAGAGCGGCCGAUAUCGGAUUAGCUAGUUGGUGGGGUAAAGGCUCACCAAGGCGACGAUCCGUAGCUGGUUUGAGAGGACGACCAGCCACACUGGGACUGAGACACGGCCCAGACUCCUACGGGAGGCAGCAGUGGGGAAUUUUGGACAAUGGGGGAAACCCUGAUCCAGCCAUUCCGCGUGUGCGAUGAAGGCCUUCGGGUUGUAAAGCACUUUUGGCAGGAAAGAAAUCGCACGGGUUAAUAACCCGUGUGGAUGACGGUACCUGCAGAAUAAGCACCGGCUAACUACGUGCCAGCAGCCGCGGUAAUACGUAGGGUGCAAGCGUUAAUCGGAAUUACUGGGCGUAAAGCGUGCGCAGGCGGUUCGGAAAGAAGGAUGUGAAAUCCCAGGGCUUAACCUUGGAACUGCAUUCUUAACUACCGGGCUAGAGUAUGUCAGAGGGAGGUGGAAUUCCGCGUGUAGCAGUGAAAUGCGUAGAUAUGCGGAGGAACACCGAUGGCGAAGGCAGCCUCCUGGGAUAAUACUGACGCUCAUGCACGAAAGCGUGGGGGAGCAAACAGGAUUAGAUACCCUGGUAGUCCACGCCCUAAACGAUGUCAACUAGCUGUUGGGGCCUUCGGGCCUUAGUAGCGCAGCUAACGCGUGAAGUUGACCGCCUGGGGAGUACGGUCGCAAGAUUAAAACUCAAAGGAAUUGACGG
rnacentral:rRNA from 1 species